rnacentral:rRNA from 1 species
UACAGAGGUCCCAAGCGUUGUUCGGAUUCACUGGGCGUAAAGGGUGCGUAGGUGGUGAGGUAAGUCGGAUGUGAAAGCUCGGAGCUCAACUCCGAAAUGGCAUUGGAAACUACCUUGCUCGAGGGUUGGAGGGGGACUGGAAUGCUUGGUGUAGCAGUGAAAUGCGUAGAUAUCAAGCGGAACACCAGUGGCGAAGGCGAGUCCCUGGACAACUCCUGACACUGAGGCACGAAAGCUAGGGAGCGAACGGG